GAUGAACGCUGGCGGCGUGCCUAAUACAUGCAAGUCGAGCGAACAGACGGGAGCUUGCUCCUCUGACGUUAGCGGCGGACGGGUGAGUAACACGUGGAUAACCUACCUAUAAGACUGGGAUAACUUCGGGAAACCGGAGCUAAUACCGGAUAAUAUAUUGAACCGCAUGGUUCAAUAGUGAAAGACGGUUUUGCUGUCACUUAUAGAUGGAUCCGCGCCGCAUUAGCUAGUUGGUAAGGUAACGGCUUACCAAGGCGACGAUGCGUAGCCGACCUGAGAGGGUGAUCGGCCACACUGGAACAGGAACACGGACCAGACUCCUACGGAGGGCAGCAGUAGGGAAUCUUCCGCAGUGGGCGAAAGCCGGACGGAGCAACGCCGCGUGAGUGAUGAAGGUCUUCGGAUCGUGAAACUCUGUUAUUAGGGAAGAACAAAUGUGUAAGUAACUAUGCACGUCUUGACGGUACCUAAUCAGAAAGCCACGGCUAACUACGUG
rnacentral:rRNA from 1 species